rnacentral:rRNA from 1 species
GUAACACGUAAGGAAUCUACCUAUAAGCGGGGGAUAACAUUCGGAAACGGGUGCUAAUACCGCAUAAUAUCUUCUUCCGCAUGGAAGAAGAUUGAAAGACGGCUCUGCUGUCACUUAUAGAUGACCUUGCGGUGCAUUAGUUAGUUGGUGGGGUAACGGCCUACCAAGACGAUGAUGCAUAGCCGACCUGAGAGGGUGAUCGGCCACAUUGGGACUGAGACACGGCCCAAACUCCUACGGGAGGCAGCAGUAGGGAAUCUUCCGCAAUGGGCGAAAGCCUGACGGAGCAAUGCCGCGUGAGUGAAGAAGGCCUUCGGGUCGUAAAACUCUGUUAUAAGAGAAGAACAAAUUGUAGAGUAACUGCUACAGUCUUGACGGUAUCUUAUCAGAAAGCCACGGCUAACUACGUGCCAGCAGCCGCGGUAAUACGUAGGUGGCAAGCGUUGUCCGGAUUUAUUGGGCGUAAAGGGAGCGCAGGUGGUUUCUUAAGUCUGAUGUGAAAGCCCACGGCUUAACCGUGGAGGGUCAUUGGAAACUGGGAAACUUGAGUACAGAAGAGGAAUGUGGAACUCCAUGUGUAGCGGUGGAAUGCGUAGAUAUAUGGAAGAACACCAGUGGCGAAGGCGACAUUCUGGUCUGUUACUGACACUGAGGCUCGAAAGCGUGGGGAGCAAACAGGAUUAGAUACCCUGGUAGUCCACGCCGUAAACGAUGAGUGCU